rnacentral:lncRNA from 1 species
UAUUCAAUAACAUACAUAAAAAAAAUUACAAUCACACACACAUCUCCUUUUUUAUUAUUUAUCACUUUCUCUUUUCUUUUCUUUUUCUUUUACAUCUACAUUUACAUAAUACAAAUAAAAAUUCAAUACUAAACAAAAAAAUUACAUCAACCAACUUAAAAUUACAAAAACAGCCCCUAAAACAUCCUAAGGCUUCUGGAGUCCGUGGGAACAGUACUCGGGAACAGUGGCGGCGCGUCCUCCCACGCUCCACCGCCACUGGCGGCGCGUGGGUUCACGCGCCGCCUCAGAAAACAAACCGAACAGGGGGGGUCUGCAACGACCUCCUUCCCCUUUCUUUCCUCGCCGGCGCCGACCUGCAGUAACAACAGAAAACCCAACAAAGCAGUCGAUUUUAAUUUUUGUUCUUUGUUUUCAAUUUAUUUCUCUUCCUCUUCGUUUCGGGUCUGCUUCCCUCCGCCGAUCUGUUCUUGUUUCUUCUUCUUCUCCGGUGGCUGAUCGUCGUGGACGAGGAGACGAUCUGGUGAUGGGGAGGGCUGGAUGUUGGAGGAGGAUGGCGCUGCUGCCCGGGGAGCAGAUCUGCCCUCCUUUGGUCUUGGCGAGCUGGCGGCUGGAGAAGGGAGCAGCUGAGAGGGGAAGAUGCCCACGAUCGGGCUGGCUGCUGGGUCUUCGGCGAGGACGGCUGGUUCGGGUGGAGGCUGAGCUGGGUCUGUCAGUGGUCGUUGAAGCCGCGGUGGAGACGGGCGAAGGAGAAGAAACCCACGGGUCCAAACUGGGGGAACAACAGUCGUCUUCAACAGGAAAAGGGAAGCUUCGGCUGAGGGAAGAUCGGUGUUGUGGGCGUUGUUGCUGCUGACGGAGGCGAGCUUGUCCGGUGUUGGAGGAAAGGAUGGCAGUGGGAUCGCC